rnacentral:rRNA from 1 species
UGACGGUAUCUAACCAGCAAGUCACGGCUAACUACGUGCCAGCAGCCGCGGUAAUACGUAGGUGGCAAGCGUUAUCCGGAUUUAUUGGGCGUAAAGGGAACGCAGGCGGUUUUUUAAGUCUGAUGUGAAAGCCUUCGGCUUAACCGGAGAAUAGCAUUGGAAACUGGAAGACUUGAGUGCAGAAGAGGAGAGUGGAAUUCCAUGUGUAGCGGUGAAAUGCGUAGAUAUAUGGAGGGACACCAGUGGCGAAAGCGGCUCUCUGGUCUGUAACUGACGCUGAGGUUCGAAAGCGUGGGUAGCAAACAGGAUUAGAUACCCUG